rnacentral:rRNA from 1 species
AACGAACGCUGGCGGCAUGCCUAACACAUGCAAGUCGAACGAGACCUUCGGGUCUAGUUGCGCACGGGUGCGUAACGCGGGGGGACCUGCCCUUAGGUUCGGUGUAACUCCCCGAAAGGGGUGCUAAUACCGGUUGAUGUCUUCGGACCAAAGACUUAUCGCCUUUGGGUGGGCCCGGGUUGGAUUAGGUAGUUGGUAGGGUAAAAGCCUACCAAGGAGACGAUGCAUAGCUGGUCGGAGAGGAUGCUCAGCUACACUGGGACUGAGACACGGCCCAGACUCCUACGGGAGGCAGCAGUGGGGAAUAUUGGACAAUGGGCGAAAGUCUGAUCACGCAAUGCCGCGUGAGUGAUGAAGGCCUUAGGGUUGUAAAGCUCUUUUACCCGGGAUGAUAAUGACAGUAACGGGAGAAUAAGCACCGGCUAACUACGUG